rnacentral:tRNA from 1 species
GGGGAUGUAGCUUCAUGGUAGAGUGCUUGCUUAGCAUGCAUGAGGCCCCUGGGUUCAAUCCCCAGCUCCA